ensembl:lncRNA
CAUAAUCCAGUAUAGGAGUGCUCCCGGGAGCCCAUCUCUCAUCUCUGAAAGAGAUAACUUUGUGGGUUUAGACUUAUCAGACUUUCCCAGGAGAGCCCAGCCAAAUGCAGCUGGUAACCUGAUGAGUUUGGAAUUGCUCUUGGCCUCCAUCUCCUUGUAUAUGCUUCCUUCUGGGACUACUGUGGUUUUUCAGCUUAUCAGUGGUCGAGUUGGCUUCCUUCUGGAUUCUCUCUUCAGCUUAGACACACCAAGGAUCAUCACAGACUCAGUUUCCCACAAAACCAGAACCAUGGGGCCAGCGGAAAAGUUUUCUUCCAACUUGCAACAAGCUGCCAGAGGAGGGAAGAAAGGUCCUGAAGUCGCUCUAGAGUUGGAGGUUGACAAGCAGGAGGCUGGGUACUAUGUGCUACAGGGAAACAUGAAGAGGUAUAUGGUCAAGCCCUCGUCUCACAAUAAACUUGGGUUUAAAACAAAUAAUUGGAAGAAGGCUCAAUGCUCAACUGGUCAUCUGAACAAUGGAUGGGAUUUGAUCUUUGGGGCAGAGACGUGUGGACAAGCAGUACUGGGCAGAGGUCAAUUGUAUGCCACUGGGGUUGGCUGAAUGGACUUGGGCCUGAAUCCCGGUGCCACUGAGAAGCCAUGUGACCUUGGGCGACCUUCUCUGGUUUCAAUUCUCAGCGAAGGGCAGGAUGAGAUUGCAGGAUCUCAUUUUUCUUUGUAUCAGUGAAACUAUGAGCUUCCAGCAUUAGCAAAAGCC